AGUCCAGUCCCCUGGGAUGAUGGCGGCGUAGGUGUCUGUACCUCUCCGGUUGUCCGCCUACUUCGGCACUAGAAGCCUGUCACUUGGCUUCUGUAUUUUGCCCUCAGCCCCGACCUCCGAAAAGUUCGGCAACGCGUCCCGAACGCCAGGGGUUGGACACUCGCCCCCAGUCGUGGAGCUGGGCGCGCCAAAACGAGGUAGCCAUUGGUCGCUGGUUGAAAGAAACCGUUACUACGCCGGAGGAAGCUGCACACGCCGAGGCUAAGGUUUUAUUGGAGGCGGGGCCAGAGUUUUGCGGUGGCACAGUUGACUGGAAAGACAUGGAAACGUUGACUUCGAGGAUGAGAAGUAGUUUUAGAAAAAGCAAAGAACUUUCUAGGCAUAGUGAAAGGCGGGGCGGGGGCGGGACGACGGGAUACGGUGUUUGAGAAUGCAUGGUGUGUAAAAGCAGCAGCAAAUAGAAUGUCUCUAGAGAGGGUCGUAAACUCCAGUGCCCUCCGUGAGGGACUGUAAGUUACCUUGUGCAAGCUGGACCGAAGAAGAUGAUGGGAAGCCCUGUGACGGAUAAGAGCACGCGGUUUCUCCGAAAGGACCUUUUGUUUAGCACUCACUGGAAGAGAAGAACUCUUGUCUGUAUCUGGUGCAUGCGUGGUACCCUCAGAGGCCAGCAGAAAGUGUUGGAUCCCCUAGAACUGAAGUUAGACUGUUUUGAGCCACCAUAUGAGUGCUAGGAAUUGAAGCCAGGUUCUUGGGAAGAGCGACUAGUCCUCGUAACUGCUGAGUCAUUUCUGUAGCCUCUAAGGGUCUGAGGUUAACCCCAGAACCCAAGUUAAAAAGCCAGAUGUGGCCCGGCAAUGGUGGCUCUUGCAUUUAAGACGGACCUCUGUAAGUUCAAAGCCAGCCUAGUCUACAGAUCAAGUUCCAGGACAGCCAGGACUGUUAUACAGAGAAACCCUGUCUUGGGAAGGAGAGGGGGAGGAAGUCAGGUACGGCCAGGCAGUAGUAGCACACGCCUUUCAACUCAGCACUCAGGAGUCAGAGCUAGGUUUGAGGCCUGCCUGGUCUACAGAGUGAAUUCCAGGACAACCAAGGCUACAGAAAGAAACCUUGUCUAAAAAAAGAAAAGCCAGGUAUGGUGGCGUAUGCUUUAAUUUCAGCACUGAGCAGGGAGUAACAAGUGGACCCCCGAACUUGCUGGCUGCCCAGACAAGCCAAGCCUGUGAACUCUAGGUCUAUAAGGCACCCUGUCUCAAAAACGAAGGUGGAUAGCUCCUGUGUCCACACACAUGCAUCUGCACUCUUAACCACUGAGCCAUCUUUGUAAAGAUUUUCUUAGCAAGACUGUGUCUCAAAAAAAAAAACCACCCAAAAUCAUAAAAAUCAAACACCCUUAAAUUUUAAGUAUACAUGUAACGUGUAGAGUUUUGAUUUGUAUAUGUGUGUGUAGUGCUGGUAAUCAAACCUAGGGUCUUACACUUGCUAGCCAAUCGUUAUACCCCUUGAGUUACAUCUUCUCCCCCAAGAAUUUUGACAUUUGCUUACUUGUCAGUAUCCUAGAUCCUGCAUAAGGCAGCAGACAUUUAUUAUAAGUAAACAGGGUUGGGCUAGUGAGACAGCUCAUUGCGUAGAAGCACCUGCCAUGUAGCUUGAUGACCUGAGUCCUGUCCUGGGUCAAGGAGAGAACUGACUUGAGAAAGUUGUUCUCUAGGUUCCAUGUGUGGACCAACAUGUGCCACACCAUAUACACACACAAUAUUAGUGAUAUUAAUAUCAAUACAUUAAUAAUAUAUUGAUAAUAUUAAUAUUUUAAUAGAGUCAGUGAUGAGAAAGACAAAAUAAGGGUAUUGUUAGCUCAAAUUUGUAUUAGUCGCUUGAGUCCAUUAAAAACAAAAAGGGAGUAGCUUUCCCAGCACUCUGGAAGGCAGAGGCAAGUGGAUCUCUGUGAGUUCAAGGCCAACCUAGUCUACAAAGUAAGUUCUGGACAGGCAGGGCUGCACAAAGAAACCCUGCCUCAAUCCCUCUCCAAAGGCACUUUAAUCCCAUACUUGGAAAGCAGAGGAAGGUUGAUCUGUGAGUUCAAGGACAGCCUGAUCCACCUAGCAAGACCCUGUCUCAAAAAGAGAGAGAGAGAGAGAAGAAAAGAAAGUACAAGUGAAUGAAGCUCGGUUGGAGAAUUGCUUGUCUAGCAUGCACAAGCACUGGUUCAAUUCCUAGAACCACGUAAAUCAAGAGUGGUAGCAUAAGCCUGUAAUCCCAGCACUGGAGAAAUGGAAGCUAGAGGAUCAAAACUCCAAGGUCAUCCCCAACUAUGUGACAAGCUUGAAAUCAGCAUAAGAGACAUGAAGCUUUGAAUUAAAUAGGAAGAACAGAAGAGAGAAUUAUUUAUCUCUGACUGGAGCUUUAAAGUCAAUACAGGUGUUACAAAGGACUCAGACUGUUUCCAUGGCUCUGCCACCUGUACAAUCUGCCACCUAUUAAACCUCAAGACUACCAACCGGGAGGCCUGGUCUUGUCCCGCGCUCGGCCUCGCCUGCAAGAACCAUGCGGGACACAGGAUUCUUCUGCAGAAAGGCUUUAAUCCUCUUGGGAGCUAGAGCAUAAGCCACAUGGCGGAGACCCAGAUAUGAUGGAACCCAUCCCUUAUAUAGGAAACAGACCCUGCUUCGGACGUGUCACUCUUGAAUUGGUCAAUUGUCCAUAAUCCCAGGUGAAUGCCUCGGGAGUAGGCGGGGACAGUAGUGGAAAAAUACCAACACGUGUGCGUUCACCUGGCGGUGAAGCCGGAUGUCAGCGCCAUCUUGAUGAUGGAGAAUGUGGCUGCGGCCUUCUACAUGGUCUGGGUGAAACAUCAACAAAAGGAGACUCUGGGCCCCCCACUGGAAAGGUCCUCACAUUGUGAUCCUGGCUACUACCGCUGCUGUCCAAGUCGAUGGCAUCCAUUCCUGGAUACAUCACACCACCUGAAACCCGGUCCUGACCAAAGAUCUGACACAGAUGCUGGAAGGAGAUGGACGGUUUAGCGGGACCAGUACAGCCCACUAAAGAUAAGACUGAUCAAAAAUGAUCCCUGAACCUUUUUUUUCCUUUAUUGGUUUUCAGCCCCUCCUGGGCAGCCUCAAAGUACUAUUAUCAAUCUAAAGUUUAGGAAUGGAAGCUGAGAAACACACAAACAGGGUCAAUAGCAGUAAUAAGGUUCCAACACACCCAUACAACCCCACCUGUUUUUAAGAUUGACAUUCCCACUCCAUGGCCUGGGUUAGGUAACUGUCACAUUUGCCACAGUAGGGUACCAGGCUAAUCUCACUGGCAUGGAUGUGGACAACUAGAAUCUGAAAGUCCUUUGGGUGCCUCCUUUUAUGCAUUCCCUGUUGAGCCUGGCUCCACCCACAAGGCUGGAAAUGAAUGCUGUUGUCAUCACUGUGGUUGUAAAAUGUGGGUUAAGUUCCACCUUGAAAACUCUUGGAAAGGAGGGCAAACUUAGAGUCUCAGACAGUAUCACACAGGCCCCAACUCAGGAAUAGAGUUUGCAGUCCAAAGGCAAUUGGUCACCAUGGUUGACCAUCCUACUGACUUCUCCAGCUGAACUUGUGUGGUUCCUUUGGCCCUCCUUAUGGAGCCCUGUGCAAUAAAUGUUUUAAUCGGGUUCAUCCAAGGUAAAAUAAACACAGAUAAAUCAAUAAUUUAAAAGCCCACUAUAAUUCAUUACAUGCUCUGUUCAAACUCAGGUUCUAAGCACACAGUACCACCCCCUAUUCACGUCCCUAGAUGAAGAUUCUUCUCAUUAAUUACAGAGACAAGGGAAUGAUGGGAACAAGCAAAAGCACCUUGGCCUAAGUACUGCCAUUUUGACUUCAGACUCCAUUUUACCUGUAGGGAGAAAUAAAGUGCAGGUCCCCAAGCCCUAGGGGAGCUGGGAACCUUACGACAGCUGACCCACCUCCUCCUUAAACCAUAAAAAGAGUCAUUGUGCAUCGUUAGUUCUCUAGAAACAUCAUGGCGGUUCCUACCAGCAGAAGGAACAAAUGAAUCUGAUUGGUUGGACUGAAAAACUUGCAUUGUAUGUCGAUUGAUCAUGAUGGAAUAUUCAAGGAAGCCCCUAAUCUCUAAAACCUGAUUGGUGAAAAUAUUACCUGUAACAUGACAACAACUGUGUGUGAUUUCUGUGCUUAAAUAUGUGCUUCAACUGACAUUCGGGGGCGGGGUCGCAGUUCAACUCCCUAGUCUGUUCUGCAACUCUAAUGGAUCAGCCCCUCCCCUCCCUCUUCUUUUGUGCUGCCCUGCAUUAAAUCUUGCCUUGAGGUAACCUCUUGUGUCAGCUUGGGCUGAUUCAGAGCCUGGGAUCACAGCAGUAAGAGCUGAAAGAUGGGAAGAGAGCUGUGAAAUACUGUCUUCUGGAUGUGACGUGGCCAUUGUAUUCAUGAACUCCCAGCAGCUAUGGCUACUUACACAAGACCUGGACAGUAAUGGGUCUGUCGGCAUUCUACCAAGGAUGAGAGAAAAAUUCAUGAGGCUCCACCACUGAGGCGCUAUUGAAGAGGACCAUGUUUUCUUAAGUGGUGUAGGCACAAGUGACUUGUUCAGGUUUCAGUCAACAACCCCAAUUCACAGUCUUAGCGAUACCAUUGCUGGGAUGAAACUCCAUGACCAAAGCAUUCUGGGAAAGAAAGGGUCUAUUUGGCUUACACUUUCAUAUCACUGUUCAUCACUGAAGGAAGCCAGGAUAGGAAUUCCAACAGGGCAAGAUCCUGGAGACAGGAGCUGAUGCAGGGGCCGUGGAAGGCUAGCUGCUGCUUACUGACUUGCACUUGUCUUGCUCAACCUGCUUUCUUACAGAACCCAGGACCACCAGCUCAGGCUGGACCCUCUGGGCCCUCCCACAUCAAUCACUAGUUAAGAAAAUGCCUUACAAGCCAGAUCUCAUAGAGAUAUUUAAUUGAGCUUCCCUUCUGGAUAAUAAAUGACAUAAAAACUAGCCAGCACACUGAGGAAACUCAGUGAUACAAAAACAGCAAAGGGCAUGAACUAGGAAUGGGGUUUCUGGGGACCAAGUGGUCCUGCAGGAGAAGGAAGGGAUAAGAAAUAAACAAU